ACAUUUAGUACAGUGCCUGGCAUAUAAUAAGCACUUUACAAAUACCACUGAAAUAAAAAUUCUUGCCUGCCACUGAAAGUUUACCUACUAUGGUGAAUUUUAUAUAACGCCACAAGUGCCACCAUUACUGGAUCAGACCAAUGGGGCUCCCAACCCAAGACUCUGACAUUUUUGGAGGAACUUUGUAAUAUCUAUGCUCAGUGACAGGAAUGCAGUAUUUCUAUUUCCUCCACACCCUUAACUUUUCCUUCUCCAGUGUCACCACAAAGUUUUUUUUCCACUGGCUACAUGGACUGCAAGAAAUGCUCCUCUUAGCUCCCGGUCUUGCUUCGAGUUACAACCAACACUUUUUUGCCUCACCAAACCCUUUUGGAACUGAAGGCGUCUUUUCCAGAGAGGCCCAAGGUCCAGUUUAACUAAAUCGUGCAGGAAACGACAUCUACGGAAACAGUAGCUGAAAAGUAACCAGCCAUCACUCGUGCUCUCUACUCACAAGGAUGACUAGUAGAGGAAGAAAAAAUGCUUGUGGUCCAGAUGUUAUAAAGAACUCCUCUUAACAAAACAUAAGGAAACCCCUUCCUUUAUAGCAAGAGGUUGAGGGGGAGGCAAAGAGAACAUGAUCCACUGGUCAGCCUCAUCUUCUCCUGUGGCCUCCCUACCAAUCAACGAGGGGAGCUGGACCCCAGAAAGGAGAUGGGCGCAGCUCUGUGGGGCUCCCUAGCACCCAGAGGGAGGUCUUGGCUUCUUGGUACAAGACUUUCGGAGGAACAAAAAGGAAGCUGGGUCACAAAUGGGGAAAUCAGCUGAUGGGUGGAAUUUUUCACUAGGGAUUCUAGUAGAAGAAACAUUGGCAAUCUCAACCCUUCCCCAUAAGUUUUUCCUGAUUUUACAAUGUGGCCUAGCUAAGAUCUGGCUCUCUCUGGAAACAUGACUAGGAUUAUCAAGGUAACCAAGGACAAGAAGGUGAAGACAGUAACCUCAGAGACAAGGUCCCAUAUGGGGAAAAGGACCAGGGUCCACAAAGUCGGGACACUUGCUGCUCCUCACAAAUAUCAUCAAUCACAUUACCUGAAACAGAAUCGCCACUGUCAUGCACAAGACUAAAGAUUUGAAUUUAGGAGUUUCAAACCUGGUGUCGAGUGCUCAGAGACAGACUAGGAGAAAUAUACAUUGCUCUCCAUGCACUGUUUUUUUUUCCACUGUGAGUUUGGAGCCAGAUAAGGAUUUUCCCAGAAGGUCAGCACAAUAUCAGCAUGGCCACAAGUGACUAGAGCUCAGGGGAUGUUUGGAGCCUUUCCCUUCAGGGGGCAGGCACACUGGGUGACAAGCACAGGACAUUUAAGCCUUGGGUUAGGGGCUUAUGACCUUCCCUCGAUUUGAAUCAUCACUGCAGAGCUAAGGAACAACUGGGGAAUGUGGCCCAGGAAACUACUACACCCAUGAAUGAGGAGGAGACAAAGCUGAAACAAAUACACUCAGGGCUCCAGAGCUGAAGGAACUCCAACAGAUAUUUUAGCAAAGUGAAAGCCAGUAACAAAGUUAAAGUUCCCGGAAACAUCAACCAGGCUGAUUGGCUUCUGCCUAUGGGAAUGAGUGCCAGCUAGAAUCUGGAGUGGGCUGCAGAAAGGAUAACUCUAGGGAAACUAACCUUGUUUGGUUUUGGAGAGCUUUGUAUGAAUAUACAGUGAUUACUAUUAAGCCAUCCUUAAUAUUUUACUGUGGAGUGUUAAUUACGAAUUUAUGGACCAUAAUGAUUUGUCAUUUACAGUGUUCCACCAUUACAGUGUUGGGUAUCUAC